AGGAAGGAUGGAAGGAAGGGAGGGAGGGAAAAAAAAGAAUGAAGGCUAGAGGCUAGGCCAUUGGUAAAUGUAAAGCCUGAGGAGGCUAGCUCCUUUCCACCCACCCAACUCACAUGCAUUCUACCUCAGUGAGCCUAGGGCUAUACUGUUUUACCAGUGUUAGGGGUUUCUAUGACUUUGGUGAUCUGACUUCUAAGAGAGGUAACAGUAUCAUACUCCUCCCGAAUUCCCCCAAUACCCACCAACAGCCACUGUAAGAUCUGGACACCCUAGUUGAUUUUUGUCCCUCUCACCCCCUCCCCCCCAAUUCUAUUUGAUGAAAUUACUGGGCUUAAGGCUAAAAGCCCUUUCAGGCCUCAAGUGGUCAUAUUUACAUACGAAAGAAAGAGACAAGAAAUCUGGUUGAGGAGCCACUGAGACAGUGAAUAUAGAUUGCCUAGGUGUUUUUUCUCAGGUACUCAUGUACUUGGGCAAACAGGGUGGGCUGUUCAAAACCAGAGAAUUGACUCCCUACAGGGCAGUCUAUAAGAAAGUUGGCCCAGUGAUUGGGCUUUUGUGGAAGAAGAACUCUGUCAUUAAAGAACCCCUUAUUUCUCAAAAGGUAGACGGGAGGAAACUUUUUUCUCGCAAGUCUGGCUAACUUGUCUCCUCUCUGCAGGUGCUUCUGCGGCAAGAUGCCAUUGCUGAUGGAGGAGGAGCGGUGGCGAAGAGAGCCAUCCCCUUCUCUGCCUUGCUGUUUUCUACAAGCACAAGGGUGAGUGCAGAGCUUCCUCCAGAGCUCAGCCCUUUCUGCCUUGAUGCUGACUUCUUCCCUCUCUUCUCACCUGUUUCAUAGAUAGAUCCUUCUUGCUUUUUACCUAGGCCAAAAAAAACAUGGCUGAUCCUUUCAGGGAAUCCUUUAGGGGUUUCUCCAAAUCCCACUAAUUGCCUUCUUUUGACUAAAGCCCUCUAACUCCAUCAGGCUCAUUGAAGAGACUUCUCUGCAGCCUUUGACAUGGUUGAUGACCCUCUUGUCCUUGAUACUCAAUACUAUCAAUGGCAAACAAUCACCUGCACUCUUAUUAUGUUCUCAGGUGGUUGAGAAAACACUUUCAUGCCCUAUUAUCAGGUUGUUUAGGAAAACUCUCCAGCCUAGUCUGGGAUUUUCCCUCUUCAACACAGUGUUACCACAAUCUCCCUCUUUUUCCAUUCAAAGCAAAGAUCAUUUCUACGACAUCCCUGCAAAGUGGUUUUGACACAAUCUCUCUCUCUCAGUGGCUGACAGGAUGCUACUUAGCCUUUAUUUGAGGAGGUUUUACUCCCCAUAGAAUCAUAGAAUUGCAGUUUUAGAAUAAAUCUCCAAGGCCAUCUAACCCAACCCACCUGAAGCAGGAAUCCCAUCUACGUUUCUGACAAAUGGUCAUCCAGCUUCUUUUAGAACAUCUCCAGUGGUCGGUAGCUCACCAUUCCCCAGAGAACUGGUGGUGGUGGUGGUGUGGAAACCUGUCUUGCUUUUCAAGACUCAGUGCAGCAAUAGUUGAAGUCAACGAAAAAUAAAAGUUUUACUAAAAAUA